AACGAACGCUGGCGGCAUGCCUAACACAUGCAAGUCGAACGAGACCUUCGGGUCUAGUGGCGCACGGGUGCGUAACGCGUGGGAACCUGCCCUUAGGUUCGGAAUAACUCCCCGAAAGGGGUGCUAAUACCGGAUAAUGUCUUCGGACCAAAGAUUUAUCGCCUUUGGAUGGGCCCGCGUUGGAUUAGCUAGUUGGUAGGGUAAAAGCCUACCAAGGCGACGAUCCAUAGCUGGUCUGAGAGGAUGAUCAGCCACACUGGGACUGGGACACGGCCCGGACUCCUACGGGAGGCAGCAGUGGGUAAUAUAGGAAAGUGGGCUAAAUGCUGAUCCAGCAAUGCCGCUAAAGUCAUGAAGGCCGUAGGGUUGUAAAGCUCUUUUACCCGGGAUGAUAAUGACAGUACCGGGAGAAUAAGCUCCGGCUAACUCCGUG
rnacentral:rRNA from 1 species